rnacentral:rRNA from 1 species
AUGUCCGAGACAAAUGCAACAUCAGCAUUGCAGGAACAGAAUGUCCUUAAGAGAAAGUCUGAUGAUGUGGGAUGGGAGUAUGGGAGUCUAGUUGAUGCUUCCAACAAGGAUAAAGUGAAGUGUAUGUUCUGUAACCACGUGAGCAGUGGAGGUGUUUAUCGACACAAGCAGCAUGUAGCUCAUCUUGGUAAUGUUGUGCUCAAAUGCAAGAAAAACUCUCAGGAAGCUAAAGACAGGUGCAAGAAAUUUCUUGAGGACGCAUCUAAUAAGAGGAGGGAAAAGACUGCCCGUGAGCAAGAGCUUAGACAAAGUGUGAGCAUUUCUCACGUUGGAGAUGACGAAGCUACUUGUAUCGGAAGCGCAGAGCCACACAAGUUAGGUCCCAUUGACAAGUGGGCACGGCCUAUUGAUCCUAAAUUGACUCAAGCUGAGGCCUUGCAUCAACAGAGGAUAAACAAGGAACUUUGGUAAAGGAGAACACAUGAAGUGCAACAAUAUGUGGCUAGAUGGGUGUACAAUCAUGCUAUACCAUUCAAUGCUUGUGACAACGAUGAUUUCAAAUUAAUGUGUGAAGCCAUUGGGAUGUUUGGCCUUGGAUUUGAGCCGCCGUGGUAUAGUAAUAUACUAGUAGUAGCUAAGACCCAUAAGGAUCCAAAUGAGAGUGUUUAUCUAGUCAAGCAAGUGAACUUGUAUUGUUGUUAUUGUUUAUAG